UUUGGAUAUAUUUUAGAUAUCUAAUUUCAUAUGUUAUAAUUUUUAAUAGUAAAAUAAUUUGUUCAAUUGAUUCACCAAACGAAAUAAUUUAAAAAUGACAUUUUCCGUUUGGAGGUAACAGCUAGCAACACUUGGCAAAUGGCGGGAUUCUGAGCGGAGCACCGUACCGUGCGGUCGUGCAAGCGAGAUUGUGUUGAAAAGAAUAAAGAUUGAUAGUCUGUUGAAAGUGUUGACGUUUUCUUGGAGAGGAGUCCUAUACCUUGGAGUGGAGUUCUUACAUUUCAGAAGUGGGAUACAGCGCAAAUACUGCGUAAGUACACGUCUUCUAUUUUUGUUUAGAUUAUGCGUUAGCCAUUUGAAUUUGGAAUUGACGUAUUGGAUAUUUUAAAUAAAUUAUUAUUUUUAUACCAAUUUGGUGGGCAAAUUCACGUGAAAAGGUUUAUGUAUUUCAAGGCACACCAACAACUUAUUUACAAUUGCUUACGCAUAUAUAAGUUUACAAUUGUUAGUCCUGUGUAAAUAAGUCAGUUACAGGUGUGCACAAUGCUCACAGAGAAUAGUGUGAUCGGUUGCCAAAAAGCCUAGCCCUUAAGCCAAUAGGUUGGCAUAGAAUUAAUUUAAUUUCAAUGUUUUUGUGUCUAAGUUAUUAUUUAUUUGGUGGUUAAAAAUACAGAUACCAUGCCGUUCUCUAAGAUGAUUUUUUUUUUUGGUUAAACCACGUUUUUACGAAAGUACCCUCAAAUAAUUUUAAUCCUCGUUUUUAUAAAACCACCCAAAAAACAAAAUAUAUAGCUCAAUAGAUAGCUAAUUUGGCACAACUGGGUAUAUAAAAGGGUGUGAUUUCUCAGUUAUUUUUACGAUCAGAGAUACCGUUUCCAAGAUAUUUACGAUUUUGUCUAUUCAUCUAAGUAUCCUAUUAUUUUGCUAUUGUGAAUAGAUCUAACGUGAGUUAUUUUUAUGUGAGUUGCCAGACCAGAUAAUGGAUGCCACCGGCAGCUGGACUCAGCACAGGCUGGAGAUGCCGGAAAGAGAGUCGCCGCGAAGCAACCACACUGGCAGUCGAAGCGGAAGUCGCAGUCGACGUCUGGGAGAGCAAGAGAGGAGCGCGAGCCAGCAAAGAUCAGCGCCGCACUGCCACGAUGGGCACCAGGAUGUCAACCAGAAACAGCAACCAUCACGAAGAUAUCGCUCCUCGACUCUAAGAAGUGAUUGGUUUAAAGAUUCGAGAGAGAAAUUCGUCACGAGUCGUCGAGAAUUGACUGGUUUGAAGCACAUGCAGAUGAGUUUUUGGUGUAAGUCCUUUAGAAAUGAAUGGUUAAAGGCAUUCUAGUUUCUCCUUCAGAAAUGAAUGGUUGAAGGAGUUCGUCUAGUUGAAACCCUCAGAAAUGAAUGGUUGAGGGAUAGGAAGUCCUCGAGAAUUGAUUGGUUCGAGGCACAUGAUGAGUUUAUGUUGUAAUUCCUUCAGAAAUGAAUGGUUGAAGGAGUUAGCAUUAGUGUCCUGACUGUGGUGUCUCAAUCAAUAUAUUUAUGCCAAUAUAAUAUAUGUAAGGCUUAUUAAUGUUAAUGAUUAUUUCACAGAUACAGUGUUGUUUUUUUUGCUUUAAUUUUUGUGAUAUAAUUUGAAACGAUGUUGAAUUGUAUAAGUUGUAAUUCAAUUAUAAUUAAAUUGUAAUAGACAGCUGUGUUGCUGGGAAGUUUGUUCUUCGCCACUUCUUCUUCCCAGCCAUAACACUAGGAAGUGGUGAAAGGGGGGCGUUUUGGGGGUGCUGUCCUUUUAUGAAUUUUGUAAAAUAUCGCUAUUGGCCAAGUGUAAGGUUAUAUAGCCCACCUAGUACGUGUAUGGGGACAUACACGAGGUCAGGAUGGACGAGUGUAAGGUUUGGAUAUAUUUUAGAUAUCUAAUUUCAUAUGUUAUAAUUUUUAAUAGUAAAAUAAUUUGUUCAAUUGAUUCACCAAACGAAAUAAUUUAAAAAUGACAUUUUCCGUUUGGAGGUAACAGCUAGCAACACUUGGCAAAUGGCGGGAUUCUGAGCGGAGCACCGUACCGUGCGGUCGUGCAAGCGAGAUUGUGUUGAAAAGAAUAAAGAUUGAUAGUCUGUUGAAA